UACGUAGGUGGCAAGCGUUAUCCGGAUUUAUUGGGCGUAAAGAGAACGCAGGCGGUCUUUUAAGUCAGAUGUGAAAGCCUUCGGCUUAACCGGAGUAGUGCAUUGGAAACUGGGAGACUUGAGCGCAGAAGAGGAGAGUGGAACUCCAUGUGUAGCGGUGAAAUGCGUAGAUAUAUGGAAGAACACCAGUGGCGAAAGCGGCUCUCUGGUCUGUAACUGACGCUGAGGUUCGAAAGCGUGGGUAGCAAACAGG
rnacentral:rRNA from 1 species